GAAUUUUCCGCAAUGGGCGAAAGCCUGACGGAGCAAUACCGCGUGAGGGAGGAAGGCCUUUGGGUUGUAAACCUCUUUUCUCAAGGAAGAAAAAAAUGACGGUACUUGAGGAAUAAGCAUCGGCUAACUCCGUGCCAGCAGCCGCGGUAAUACGGAGGAUGCAAGCGUUAUCCGGAAUUAUUGGGCGUAAAGAGUCCGUAGGCGGUUGUUCAAGUCUGCUGUCAAAGAAUGGAGCUUAACUCCAUAGAGGCGGUGGAAACUGAAGAACUAGAGUCUAGGAGGGGUAGAGGGAAUUCCCAGUGUAGCGGUGAAAUGCGUAGAGAUUGGGAAGAACACCGGUGGCGAAAGCGCUCUACUGGACUAGAACUGACGCUGAGGGACGAAAGCUAGGGUAGCGAAAGGGAUUAGAUACCCCUGUAGUC
rnacentral:rRNA from 1 species